GUAUCAACUCAUUCUUCUAGUCAAGAAUAUCAGAGCUUCUUAGAGGGGGAAUAGAUAGGCUCUAAAACCAUGUCUUGGUUUUUUACAGUUCUCUUUCUUGUUACUGCUCUUACAUUUCAUACUCCUUCAGAGGCUAGCCAUGAGAAGAACGAUCCUUCUGCAGUUGUUGUAGGCACUGUCUACUGUGACACAUGUUUCCAAGAGGAUUUCUCACAUACCAGCCAUUUCAUUUCAGGGGCAUCUGUUGGUGUGGAGUGCAAAGAUGGGAGUUCAACAAAACCAAGUUUCAAGGCAGAAGUGAAAACAAAUAGCCAUGGACAAAUCAAAGUCCAACUGCCCUUCUCAGUGAGUAAACAUGUCAAGAAAAUUGAAGGAUGCUCCGUGAAACUAAUCAGCAGCAGUGAACCCUACUGUGCUGUGGCAUCAUCAGCUACUUCAUCUUCCCUACAUCUCAAGGCAAGAAAGCAAGGGACCCACAUAUUCUCUGCUGGGUUCUUCACCUUCAAGCCUCCCAAGCAACCCAGCUUAUGCAACCAGAAACCCAGCAUUCAGAAUUCCAAAAAAUUAAAUUCCCAGAAGUUCUCAUUCCCUCCUACUGAUGAGAUGGCGUUCCCAUCCCCCUCUCAGGUGGACCCCACAAUGCCCGAUCUCCCUCUCAUCCCAAAUGAUCUCCCAGGACUCCCAGGACUACCAGGUCUCCCAGGUCUCCCAGGCCUCCCAGGCACAGGUCUUCCAGGCGUCCCAGGUACAGGUCUUC
rnacentral:sRNA from 1 species